AACGAACGCUGGCGGCAUGCCUAACACAUGCAAGUCGAACGAUACCUUCGGGUCUAGUGGCGCAUGGGUGCGUAACGCGUGGGAACCUGCCCUUAGGUUCGGAAUAACUCCCCGAAAGGGGUGCUAAUACCGGAUAAUUUCUUCGUACCAAAGAUUUAUCGCCUUUGGAUGGGCCCGCGUUGGAUUAGCUAGUUGGUAGGGUAAAAGCCUACCAAGGCGGCGAUCCAUAGCUGGUCUGAGAGGAUGAUCAGCCACACUGGGACUGAGACACGGCCGAGACUCCUACGGGAGGGAGGAGUGGGGAAUAUUGGAAAAUGGGCGAAAGCCUGAUGCAGCAAUGCCGCGUGAGUGAUGAAGGCCUUAGGGUUGUAAAGCUAUUUUACCCGGGAUGAUAAUGACAGUACCGGGAGAAUAAGCACCGGCUAACUCCGUG
rnacentral:rRNA from 1 species